UCCUCAUCGCAUGGUGGGGGGUGGAAAGCUUUUUGUGGUUUUGGAUGGACUCGCGGCCUAUCAGCUUGUUGGUGAGGUAAUGGCUCACCAAGGCGACGACGGGUAGCCGGCCUGAGAGGGUGACCGGCCACACUGGGACUGAGACACGGCCCAGACUCCUACGGGAGGCAGCAGUGGGGAAUAUUGCACAAUGGGCGAAAGCCUGAUGCAGCGACGCCGCGUGAGGGAUGACGGCCUUCGGGUUGUAAACCUCUUUCAGUAGGGAAGAAGCGAAAGUGACGGUACCUGCAGAAGAAGCGCCGGCUAACUACGUGCCAGCAGCCGCGGUAAUACGUAGGGCGCAAGCGUUAUCCGGAAUUAUUGGGCGUAAAGAGCUCGUAGGCGGUUUGUCGCGUCUGCCGUGAAAGUCCGGGGCUCAACUCCGGAUCUGCGGUGGGUACGGGCAGACUA
rnacentral:rRNA from 1 species